UACGUAGGGGGCUAGCGUUGUCCGGAUUUAUUGGGCGUAAAGAGCGUGUAGGCGGCCAGGUAGGUCUGGUGUGAAAACUCGAGGCUUAACCUCGAGAUGUCGGCGGAAACCAUCUGGCUAGAGUCCGGAAGAGGAGAAUGGAAUUCCCGGUGGUAGCGGUGAAAUGCGCAGAUAUCUGGAGGAACACCGGUGGCGAAGGCGACGGUCCUGGACCGGCAUUGAC
rnacentral:rRNA from 1 species